rnacentral:snRNA from 1 species
UCUGUUAACGACUGCUAACGU